GCUUUCCUGCCUUGUGCGAUUUGUUGCGGCUUGAUAUAAUCCUACUAAUCAAAUAUAGGGAGCCCGCCGUUGCCCGGCGGAUUGCAGACCUCCCGCCCCGCGCACGCGCGGACCAAGGCGGACGAAGGGAGCGCGAGACCGGGCACAGGGCACCCACCUGCCAUCGGGUAGGUUUUGAUUGGUCGCAGACGGCAAGGCGGGGCCUUU
rnacentral:other from 1 species